rnacentral:rRNA from 1 species
AUCUGGGAGGAUUGACAGAUUGAGAGCUAUUGCUUGAUUCUGUGGGUGAUGGUGCAGGUCCGUUCUUAGUUGGUGGAGCGAUUUGUCCGGUUAAUUCCGAUAAGGAACGAGACUCUAGCCUAUUAAAUAGGAACUUUGAAGGCAGUCAUAUUAGGUGCGUGGUUCUCUGCAGCUUGCACCCUUCUUAGAGGGACAAGCGGCUCCUAGCCGCAUGAAACAGAGCAAUUACAGGUAUGUGAUGCCCUUAGAU